rnacentral:rRNA from 1 species
CCCUUAGAUGUUCUGGGCCGCACGCGCGCUACACUGACGAAUGCAACGAGCUUAUAACCUUGGCCGAAAGGUCUGGGUAAUCUCCAAAUUUCGUCGUGAUGGGGAUAGAUUAUUGCAAUUAUUAAUCUUCAACGAGGAAUGCCUAGUAAGCGCAAGUCAUCAGCUUGCGUUGAUUACGUCCCUGCCCUUUGUACACACCGCCCGUCGCUCCUACCGAUUGAAUGGUCCGGUGAAGCGUUCGGACCGUGGCCUUUGGACGGUUCGCCGUCUGUUGGCUGCGGGAAGUUCGUUAAACCUUAUCAUUGAGAGGAAGGAGAAGGCGUAACA